GAUCAUCAAUAAUGGUACAUGCGGUGCUGCCAAAGUGAUUAACAUGUUCACUUGUCCAGGAUGGGAGUUGUCUGUCAAUAAUACUGAUCCUUUGGCCACAAUCCCACCCUUAAAUAUAUAAAGAUUAUUAAUAUUUAUGGCCAAAAUUCUCUGUAUACAAUGAGAGAUGUACAAGGUUUUUUCCAUGAGUACACCUUUAAUUAAUUGAGAAGAGAGCAGAAUAAUCCUCUGCUAGAUCGACAGUAAAAAAGUCAAAAUGAUAUGGAGUCCAUUCGUUUAUGCUUAUCCGUAAUGCGACUGAAGCCAAUGACCUUACUGCCCAUGACAAUAAAUUAUAGGAGACAAAGUCAA